rnacentral:misc_RNA from 1 species
CAAGAAGCCGAAAGGCUACUUAAAACCAUCGCGAACUUAUCCAAGUUGCUUCGGCGGCAGCGGCUCCCCUCACGGGGGACCGCAGUCCCCCGCCUCUCAGGAGGUAAGGGGGCAGCCGCCGGAGGUACGAAACUCUGUAUUAUAGUGGUAUCUCUGAGUAUAAAACAAAUAAGUUA